UAUCUUUUGAUGUUCUAACAACUAGACGGGAAUGAAAGAAUACCAUACCAUGUUUUAUUUUUUGUUGUUUGUUCACUAAAUAACUAGAUCUAAAAUUGAAAAAAAUAUUCCCAUUCAUAAAAAUAACUAUUUGUGUGCUUAAAAAUGAUAUUAAUUAAUUGAAUCUACAUUUUAAGAUUAUAAAACUACAGUGGAGUGCAUACUUGCAGUUCAGCAAUUCUUUUCUGCCUAUUUCCCCCCAAAAAUAACUAAACAUUUUGUGUUCAUUUUUUUUAGUUUCAAUUUUUUUGAGGGGAACUCCUAAUUUUUGGGGUAUGCACAUAUUGUAGGUUUAUCUGCAUAUUUUGGUUCCGUUUUUGAGCUAAAAACACAUUUUUACCCCCUCUCAAUGCAUUUUAAUGGGUGUCAAUUACAUGUGGAUUUUCGCUACUCGUGGGCCGGCCUGGUCAUAGCGGGGAUCCACUGUAUAAUUAUAUCAUUAUUUUAUUUAUCAAUUAAUGUCAUAAAUGAGAUUUGGGGUUCAUUUUAAACAUUAAACAUUCAUUUUGACAUUAACUCCAUAUGGAAGAAGGAAGGCUGAACAAUCGUUUGGGAAUUGUAGUUUACUACACAGUACUACGUGACCUUUUCUAUGUCUUGCCUCAUAUCUGAAAACAAGCUAAUAUUAAAAAUCAAACUUAUAAAAACUAAACUAAAAUGUGUUUUCUUUUUUGAAAAAACAAACAAAAACAACCCCACUCUAAAAACUAAAUGAAACUACCUAGCUGCAUUUCGUACAGAACGAAAAAUAACCAACUAUUAUAACACUGAUGUCAUCUAUUGCGUGCCGUACUGAAGUCGAAUGAAAUGGAAGGUAGUUUGACUUGCGUGCACAUGAACAGGGAUAAUGGCUUGUGU